rnacentral:rRNA from 1 species
UGGGGAAUUUUGGACAAUGGGGGAAACCCUGAUCCAGCCAUCCCGCGUGUGCGAUGAAGGCCUUCGGGUUGUAAAGCACUUUUGGCAGGAAAGAAACGUCGCGGGUUAAUACCCCGCGAAACUGACGGUACCUGCAGAAUAAGCACCGGCUAACUACGUGCCAGCAGCCGCGGUAACACGUAGGGUGCAAGCGUUAAUCGGAAUUACUGGGCGUAAAGCGUGCGCAGGCGGUUCGGAAAGAAAGAUGUGAAAUCCCAGAGCUUAACUUUGGAACUGCAUUUUUAACUACCGGGCUAGAGUGUGUCAGAGGGAGGUGGAAUUCCGCGUGUAGCAGUGAAAUGCGUAGAUAUGCGGAGGAACACCGAUGGCGAAGGCAGCCUCCUGGGAUAACACUGACGCUCAUGCACGAAAGCGUGGGGAGCAAACAGGAUUAGAUACCCUGGUAGUCCACGCCCUAAACGAUGUCAACUAGCUGUUGGGGCCUUCGGGCCUUGGUAGCGCAGCUAACGCGUGAAGUUGACCGCCUGGGGAGUACGGUCGCAAGAUUAAAACUUAAAUGAAUUGACGGGG